rnacentral:rRNA from 1 species
GAUGAACGCUGGCGGCGUGCCUAAUACAUGCAAGUCGAGCGAACGGACGAGAAGCUUGCUUCUCUAAUGUUAGCGGCGGACGGGUGAGUAACACGUGGAUAACCUACCUAUAAGACUGGGAUAACUUCGGGAAACCGUAGCUAAUACCGGAUAAUAUUUUGAACCGCAUGGUUCAAAAGUGAAAGACGGUCUUGCUGUCACUUAUAGAUGGAUCCGCGCUGCAUUAGCUAGUUGGUAAGGUAAAGGCUUACCAAGGCAACGAUGCAUAGCCGACCUGAGAGGGUGAUCGGCCACACUGGAACGGAGACACGGUCCAGACUCCUACGGGAGGCAGCAGUAGGGAAUCUUCCGCAAUGGGCGAAAGCCUGACGGAGCAACGCCGCGUGAGUGAUGAAGGUCUUCGGAUCGUAAAACUCUGUUAUUAGGGAAGAACAUAUGUGUAAGUAACUGUGCACAUCUUGACGGUACCUAAUCAGAAAGCCACGGCUAACUACGUG